GUUUUAUACACUGCUCUGAUAGGUUAGUUUAAUACACUGCUCUGAUAGGGUAGUUUAAUACACUGCUCUGAUAGGUUAGUUUUAUACACUGCUCUGAUAGGAUAGUCUGAUAGGUUAGUUUUAUACACUGCUCUGAUAGGUUAGUUUUAUACACUGCUCUGAUAGGAUAGUCUGAUAGGUUAGUUUAAUACACUGCUCUGAUAGGUUAGUUUAAUACACUGCUCUGAUAGGAUAGUUUUAUACACUGCUCUGAUAGGGUAGUUUAAUACACUGCUCUGAAGACUGUUGAUGCCAUUGGAGAUCCACAAACUGACUGUGGAAUGUUUUGGUUCCUGAUAUAUGUAGGGGUCAAAUCUGAAGCCCUAUUCUCUAUGUAGUGCACUAAGGGGAUAGUAGGGGUCAAAUCUGAAGCCCUAUUCUCUAUGUAGUGCACUAAGGGGAUAGUAGGGGUCAAAUCUGAAGCCCUAUUCUCUAUGUAGUGCACUAAGGGGAUAGUAGGGGUCAAAUCUGAAGCCCUAUUCUCUAUGUAGUGCACUAAGGGCAUAGUAGGGGUCAAAUCUGAAGCCCUAUUCUCUAUGUAGUGCACUAAGGGGAUAGUAGGGGUCAAAUCUGAAGCCCUAUUCUCUAUGUAGUGCACUAAGGGGAUAGUAGGGGUCAAAUCUGAAGCCCUAUUCUCUAUGUAGUGCACUAAGGGGACAGUAGGGGUAAAAUCUGAAGCCCUAUUCUCUAUGUAGUGCACUAAGGGGAUAGUAGGGGUCAAAUCUGAAGCCCUAUUCUCUAUGUAGUGCACUAAGGGGAUAGUAGGGGUCAAAUCUGAAGCCCUAUUCUCUAUGUAGUGCACUAAGGGGAUAGUAGGGGUCAAAUCUGAAGCCCUAUUCUCUAUGUAGUGCACUAAGGGCAUA
ensembl:lncRNA